AUUGAACGCUGGCGGCAGGCUUAACACAUGCAAGUCGAGCGGGGAAGGGUAGCUUGCUACCUGACCUAGCGGCGGACGGGUGAGUAAUGCUUAGGAAUCUGCCUAUUAGUGGGGGACAACAUUCCGAAAGGAAUGCUAAUACCGCAUACGCCCUACGGGGGAAAGCAGGGGAUCUUCGGACCUUGCGCUAAUAGAUGAGCCUAAGUCAGAUUAGCUAGUUGGUGGGGUAAAGGCCUACCAAGGCGACGAUCUGUAGCGGGUCUGAGAGGAUGAUCCGCCACACUGGGACUGAGACACGGCCCAGACUCCUACGGGAGGCAGCAGUGGGGAAUAUUGGACAAUGGGCGAAAGCCUGAUCCAGCCAUGCCGCGUGUGUGAAGAAGGCCUUUUGGUUGUAAAGCACUUUAAGCGAGGAGGAGGCUACCGAGAUUAAUACUCUUGGAUAGUGGACGUACUCGC
rnacentral:rRNA from 1 species